GACGAACGCUGGCGGCGUGCCUAAUACAUGCAAGUCGACCUUAGUGGCGAACGGGUGAGUAACACGUGGGUAACCUGCCCAGCAGAAGGGGAUAACAGUUGGAAAAAGGUGCUAAUACCGGAUACUGAUGGAUGGACCCGCGGUGCAGUAGCUAGUUGGUGAGGUAACGGCUCACCAAGGCCACGAGGCAGAGCCGCCCUGAGAGGGUGCUCGGCCACAUGGGGACUGAGACACGGCACAAACCCCUACGGGAGGCAGCAGGAGGGAAUCUUCGGCAAUGGACGAAAGUCUGCCCGAGCAACGCGGCGUGAGUGAAGAGGGUUGUCGGAUCGUAAAACCUUGUUGUUAGAGAAGCGGUAUCUAACCAGAAAGCCACGGCUAACUACGUGCAAGCCGCCGCGGUAAUA
rnacentral:rRNA from 1 species